CGUCACGCCGCAGCGGUGGAAAAGAAAAUGUAAAAAAGCAGGCGAGCCAACCUUACAAGCUCGAGCCUAGAAAACUUCCUCUUUCAUUCAACGUGUGUCCAGUAGUGAAGACGUUCUUUUCGUCCCUUUACUACCCAACCCAAAAUGAGAGCUAAGUGGCGUAAGAAGCGUAUGCGAAGGCUGAAGCGAAAGCGCAGGAAGAUGCGUGCGAGGUCCAAGUAGAUUACUCGGAUUUCGAGCGUCGUCUAUCCCUCUGAAUUAAGGAUAAGGACCCAUACAUGAAUACAAAA